AGAUUAAGUUAUUAAGGGCGCACGGUGGAUGCCUUGGCACUAGAAGCCGAUGAAGGACGUUACUAACGACGAUAUGCUUUGGGGAGCUGUAAGUAAGCUUUGAUCCAGAGAUUUCCGAAUGGGGAAACCCAGCAUGAGUUAUGUCAUGUUAUCGAUAUGUGAAUACAUAGCAUAUCAGAAGGCACACCCGGAGAACUGAAACAUCUUAGUACCCGGAGGAAGAGAAAGAAAAUUCGAUUCCCUUAGUAGCGGCGAGCGAAACGGGAAGAGCCCAAACCAACAAGCUUGCUUGUUGGGGUUGUAGGACACUCUGUACGGAGUUACAAAGGACGACAUUAGACGAAUCAUCUGGAAAGAUGAAUCAAAGAAGGUAAUAAUCCUGUAGUCGAAAAUGUUGUCUCUCUUGAGUGGAUCCUGAGUACGACGGAGCACGUGAAAUUCCGUCGGAAUCUGGGAGGACCAUCUCCUAAGGCUAAAUACUCUCUAGUGACCGAUAGUGAACCAGUACCGUGAGGGAAAGGUGAAAAGCACCCCGGAAGGGGAGUGAAAUAGAACCUGAAACCGUGUGCUUACAAGUAGUCAGAGCCCGUUAAUGGGUGAUGGCGUGCCUUUUGUAGAAUGAACCGGCGAGUUACGAUUUGAUGCAAGGUUAAGCAGUAAAUGUGGAGCCGUAGCGAAAGCGAGUCUGAAUAGGGCGUUUAGUAUUUGGUCGUAGACCCGAAACCAGGUGAUCUACCCUUGGUCAGGUUGAAGUUCAGGUAACACUGAAUGGAGGACCGAACCGACUUA
rnacentral:rRNA from 1 species